rnacentral:lncRNA from 1 species
AGCACCAAUUGGUUUUAGGUUGGAAGUCCAUCUAGCUUAACAUGGUAUCAGAACCCGAUCCACGCAGUCCAAUCCGAUCCAUUAUCGAUCCAGCCCAAAGUCGGCCCAUCGAUCCUUGCCCAAGCAUUCCGAGAUUGAUGCUCAAAGAGUCAUCAUCUCGAGGGGGCGUAUUAGGGAUAAAUGUCCCACAUCGGAUAUUGGAAGGGAUCCUAAGCAAUAUAUAAGAUAGAUGGGUCACUCCACUUAGCACCAAUUGGUUUUAGGUUGGAAGUCCAUCUAGCUUAACAGUUUGUUCUUGUACAAAUCAAUACCAUUAGUGUCUUGGUCGGAACUCAAUGUCAGGACCUCCACGUCUUAUUUCGCCUCCAGCAUGUUGGUCUCCGUUUUCCUCCGGUAACUUAAAUCUCACUCCAUGUUUGAUAACCGGAGGCAGAGGUGGUCCUCCUCCGCCUCUUUCUUCUCUCUUGUCACCAAAUCCCGAUUCUAUAUCCUCUCCGUAAUCUCUUCCAGAGGGUUUCUCAACAUGGUCAGGCCGUUUCAUAUCCAACCCAAACUCCAAAUCACCUCUCUCCCUCGGCUCACGAUCCACAGGCCGAAUCUCACGGCUCUUCUUAGACGACCCUUUCUCAUGCUUUGGCUGCUUGGCAGCGCGGCUUUCACGGUUGCAUAGCCUCCCGAAGACACAAGCCAGAACCGACAAGACAAGGAUCACAGCAAGAACUAUGAAGACCGUCCCAAAGGAACCGCGUGAGCCAGAGGAGGAAGAAGAAGAUGAUGCAGAUGGAUAUGGAUACUGCUUAGUGUAUGCGUUUGGAUACACAACAACAGGCUGCUGCUGCAUUUGUUGUACUCCUUGGUCUCCCAUUUUCUCGUAGGUUUUGGUUUAUGUUUGGUUCUUAGAGAUAAAAUCAAGAAAUGGUAUAAGAAGAUGUUGAAGUUGUCAGAUGUUGGGGAAGUUUACUUUGGGGUUCUUUGAGUAGAGAUCAAGGAGGGUUAUUGAGAAGGUACUUGUGGAACAAGAAAUGUAAAUAUGCUUCAUUCCAUGUGAGAUUAGGGGUAGUUUAUUAAUAAAAUCAUUUUGUGGUUUUAAAGAAAGCUACUAAUUAAUAUGUAUCACACAAAUUAAAGUGACAAGUAAUGAAAGGAAUAAGACUAAUGGGUUUAAAACAUAAGUUUUAAAUUGAGAGAACAUUCUUUGUUGUUUUUCUUUCUUUUCUUUUCAUAAAGAGAGACAACUAAAUAGAUUCUUUGUGAUGUGUAAGUGAAAGGAGAGAGUUGCACUUUGGAACAAUUAUGUUUUCUUUGUGAGAAGAUAAAGUGGGAUUUUGUACAAAUUUUCAUCUUUUCCGAAAAAAUCAAAAGAUUUAUGGAGUGGGCUUAACCAAUCAUUGACGACUCUAUAUUUUACAUGCAAUAGUUUCAAGUUCUUAUAUGUGCAUAUGUAUGUGUGGUAAAAUUACAAAACUAUAAAGAAGUUAUUUUACAAAAAAGAAUACUAUGAAGAAGUAAUUAGUAUACAUACUCGCUUUAUAUUUAACAAGUGUAUUUAGUAUUUUACGCAAUUCAUAUGCUGAUAUUGUUAAUACGUGAAUAAUAUCAACUGAAUAACAGAAAAAUAAUUACUUUACAUUAAAACUUAUAAUUCAAAUAAACCUUAUAAAAGAAAUACGAAUAAUAUACCCUUUGAUUACAUAUUUAUUCCUUUCCCGUUAACAGAGAUAAAAACAACCUCAUUUCUGAAAUCAAAAUCAAGACGCCAUGCUAAUACGGACUAAUACGUAAUCAAUUUCGAUUAGUGAGACGAGAAUGGAAUAAUGACUCGUCUCUGUUAAGUGAAAUAAACACUGAAUUUUAUUAUGACAAUUUAUUUUUAUGUAAAUAUUACAAAGUAAGAGCUAUAUGUAUACAUCAUGCUAGUUUAUCCUUGAAUUCUUCUAUUAUCUUUGGUGCAAUCGUUUGAUAUGCCUUCUCGCUAGGGUGGGCACGAUCCCAAAAUACGUAACGAGAUGCAUCCGGGCACGGAAUAGGCGAUGUCGUCGGCAUAUAACACGCAUCAGCCACUUCAGUAAACCCUAAUAAUUCCAAAUUAUAUAGAAUAACAUUUUAGUCUCUAGACCAAAAAAAACAAAGAAUAUUUUAUUCUUGAAAAUAUAUCUACAAUGAUCAAAGUAUGUAUUUGUUUAAUAAUUGAGUAAUAACAUAUUUACCUGAAGCCUGAGGAUUGUUGACGAGAUCAAGAAGAGAAUUAUACAUGUCUACGUAGGAAAACUUGGCACCAGGAAGUUUUGUCUCGAGAGUGUUAAAUAUCACAGAUAAAUUUUUGUUGAAUGUAUCAGCCCACUGAUUUUCAGGGACUGAACAUAAUUUCGAUAUAUCUCCAUCAAUUUUUCUUAUUCCUGGCAAGCAACCUAGGGGUACCGUUCCAAGAACCGCAAACUUUCUUGCACCCAUAUCAUAUAGACUCUUGAAAUAACAAAAGACAAAUAUUAAUAAAGUAACUAGUAUGUUAUAUUCUGAAAAUAAUAGCUAUGUACCUUUAAGAGAUUUUCAGUCCAAGUGACCAUGAGAUCAGUGUAAGCUGAAGUAGUGGAUUGUGACCUCCCAGUCCAAAAGGUGAAAAUAUAUCUACAAUGAUCAAAGUAUUAUUUUAUGACCAUGAUAACAUACAUUAUUCACCUGAAGCCUGUUAUUUCCAAAAGGUGAAGACAAGAUCAUUGUUUCCAGCUGAGGUUAAAUAAACGGCGUUUGAUAUAAUUGCGUUUGUUUUUUCUUGGUUUCCUAAAACGCCGUUUAGUUUAGUGACAUACUCUUUGAAAUCUUUCACCUGAUCUGGCACCCAUAUAACUCCCUAUAUACACUCAUUCCACAAGGCAUACGUACACUAAAUGAGUGAUAAUUAAAAUUCAUAACACAGUUAAAAACUCUAUUCAAAAUGUCAUAUUUACUUGUGGCUUGGCAGUGCGUUCAUCGAGUCCGGAUCCACCGGAUGCGAAGCAAACACCGGUCGGGAGAUCAUUGUUCGAAAGGUUUGGGAUCAUGGUAAGCUGGUAAGAGUGGUUUUAAACUCAAACCUUCGGCUGUACAAAUAGACUACGAUCAAAUAACAUAUGGUAAAAUAGAAAUUUGAUUAGUAGUAAGAUCAUGACUAUUAUUGAAAGUAGUUUUAUCUAACUAUUAUUUUAAAUAGAUGUUAACGUUAACAUAUAUAUAUACCAAUUAGAUCGGAGAAAACUCUUCCAUUUCCAAAUCUUCCUGUAGCUUUUCCGCCUACAAAAUUUCUACCAUACGGAACAUUGCACUUGAUCUGAGUCCUGAGAUGGUUGUUAUAAUUCCGAGAUUGAUGCUCAAAGAGUCAUCAUCUCGAGGGGGCGUAUUAGGGAUAAAUGUCCCACAUCGGAUAUUGGAAGGGAUCCUAAGCAAUAUAUAAGAUAGAUGGGUCACUCCACUUAGCACCAAUUGGUUUUAGGUUGGAAGUCCAUCUAGCUUAACAGUUUGUUCUUGUACAAAUCAAUACCAUUAGUGUCUUGGUCGGAACUCAAUGUCAGGACCUCCACGUCUUAUUUCGCCUCCAGCAUGUUGGUCUCCGUUUUCCUCCGGUAACUUAAAUCUCACUCCAUGUUUGAUAACCGGAGGCAGAGGUGGUCCUCCUCCGCCUCUUUCUUCUCUCUUGUCACCAAAUCCCGAUUCUAUAUCCUCUCCGUAAUCUCUUCCAGAGGGUUUCUCAACAUGGUCAGGCCGUUUCAUAUCCAACCCAAACUCCAAAUCACCUCUCUCCCUC